UUGAUAAACGGAGGUUCAGCAAUAGGUUACUGAAAUUAUCACUUAUAUAUAUAACCUCCACCACAAAGUAAUUUCCCAAGAAAUGUGUAGUACUUUGUCUUCUGGGUUAGUGUUCUCUAAUUUAGAUUAGACAUUAGGGCUUUGAGCUUGGUAAGGUUUCUUUUCUUGAUGCACCUCAUUUUUUUAUUUAUUGUUUUUCUUUUUGGAGUUUUUGAUUUACAGAUAAAUUCAACAUUUAAAUUCUCUUUUUGUGAUCCUGUAGAUUUUGUCUUUGUAAUCAGAUGGUUGAUAUCGAUGUCUGAUUUCGUUCUUCUUCACUUUCAAGAAGCAUCGGUGUUUAUUGAAGCUUCCUACAGCCAAAUUGGAAUCAAUCUGAAAGAACUGGGUCUAUUCACGGUCUUCAAGCUUCCUACAGCCAAAUUGGAAUCAAUCUGAAAGAACUGGGUCUAUUCGCGGUCUUCAAGAUUUGCAGGAUGCAACAGAGCACAUAGGACAAGUUUUCAAAUGAGUUAAGAAGAUCCAGCUGAAAAGAGCAUACAAGAUAGAGAACUGGUAUGCUACUUUGUCUUUGUGUUGGAUUUUGAUGUUUAGGUUCUGCUGCUCAGUAGACUUUAUAGUGUUCUAAAUCUGUUUUGUAAGUGUGCUAAAAGAUUGGACAUGUUAUUGAAUAUUAGCCAUGUAGUUUGAAUUGGAUAUGUGAUUGAAUAUUAGGUAUUUAGUUUGAAUUGAUUUGGAUAUGUGGUUUAUUGAAUUGGAAUUUGGAUAUGUGCUAAUUUGAAUUGGAUAUGUUGAAUUAGAGAUGUGCUACUUUGAAUUGGAUAGGUUGAAUUGGAGUGUGCUAUAUUGAUAUAAGAUGAACUGAUGGUUACAGAACACACACGCACACACUCAC